GUGCUUGCUUCGGCAGCACAUACACUAAAAUUGGAACAAUACAGAGAGUAUUAGCAUGGCUCCUGCAUGAGGAUGGCACACAAAUUCAUGAAGUGUUCCAUAUUUUU
ensembl:snRNA U6 U6 spliceosomal RNA